UACGUAGGGUGCAAGCGUUGUCCGGAAUCACUGGGCGUAAAGGGCGCGUAGGCGGCCCUGGCAGUCGGUGGUGAAAGCCCGUGGCUCAACUGCGGGUCGGCCACCGAUACUCCAGGGCUCGAGUUUGGUAGAGGCAGAUGGGAAUUCCGGGUGUAGCGGUGGAAUGCGUAGAGAUCCGGAAGAACACCGGUGGCGAAGGCGGUCUGCUGGGCCAAGAC
rnacentral:rRNA from 1 species